rnacentral:rRNA from 1 species
ACUUUACAAUGCGGGAAACCGUGAUAAGGGAACUCCGAGUGCCCGUAAAAUCGGGCUGUCCAUCUGUUUAAAUAACAGGUGAAGAAAGGGCCGGGCAAGACCGGUGCCAGCCGCCGCGGUAAUACCGGCGGCUCGAGUGGUGGCCACUAUUACUGGGCUUAAAGCGUUCGUAGCUGGUCUGUUAAGUCUCUGGGGAAAUCUACUGGCUUAACCAAUAGGCGUUUCAGGGAUACUGGCAGACUAGGGACCGGGAGAGGUGAGGGGUACUCCAGGGGUAGGA